rnacentral:rRNA from 1 species
UCAAGAUGAGAUUUCCCAGUACGUAAGACCCCUGGAAGAACACCAGGUUGAUAGGCUCGAGGUGUAAGCACGGCAACGUGUGCAGCUGACGAGUACUAAUCGGUCGAGGGCUUAUCCUAA